GUGCCAGCAGCCGCGGUAAGACAGAGGUGGCGAGCGUUGUUCGGAUUUAUUGGGCGUAAAGCGAACGCAGGUGGUUUGGUAAGUCAGGGGUGAAAGUCCACAGCUUAACUGUGGCACUGCCUUUGAUACUGCCUUUCUUGAGUGCAUGAGGGGGAAGCGGAAUUCCGAGUGUAGAGGUGAAAUUCGUAGAUAUUCGGAGGAACACCGGUGGCGAAGGCGGCUUCCUGGCAUGUAACUGACACUCAUGUUCGAAAGCGUGGGUAGCAAACAGGAUUAGAAACCCCGGUAGUCC
rnacentral:rRNA from 1 species